UCGUCAUUCGACCACUCGGCAUAACGCGGCACUCAUGGGUCCAGAUGAUCAGCUCCGAUUAUUAUAUCAAAGGAAUUAUAUUAUAUGAUCCUCAACGUUUUCACAUGCGGCACGUUGCUGAUGCAAUCAGUAUCACGAAAUAAUGGGACCGAUGGACGGAUGGAUAGCUUUGAUGAUUGAGAAAACUAACAAGGUUGAGAAUUUUGAAUUUUGAACCCCCAUGAGGACCAAUUACUAGAUCCAUUUUAGAAAUCAACCUCAAAGUUGAAAAUCAUGACAUGAUUAGGGUGAAUAUAAAUUAGUUACAUAAGUGAUAAUAUUAGUAUGAUAUUAUUGUCAUUAGCCACAAAUUAAAUAUUAUAAGCACAAUUUACCUGAACAAAAUUGACAACAAUAUAGUUCUAGGGGGUUAACGUAAUUUACAUUGGAAAAUGGCUAAUCUCCAAACAUCCUCCAAUACAGACGCCCAUGAUGGUUAUUAUUAGAUUACGUGUGUUCAAUGUGCUGAAACUUCACAUAAUGUUUCAUUAAAAUGCAUGUCUUAAUACACGUCCAAUACAAUUAAGAUGCAUAUAGUGAUAUAGGUACUUUAAUAGUUUACUAAUAAUUGUCUAGUGUCGAUAGUGGCUCACGAAAAGACACUGCGGGUGUUUAAAUUCACGGCUAUAAUAUUAUAUUCGUAAUUCGUCUAUCUUAGCUGUAAGUGGACUUGAACACAAUUUUAGUUCAAAGCAUCGCGAGAACGGAGAACCCUAUUUCAAACACGUUACGCCUUACGCCUAUUUAAGCAAACAACAAUGGAUAAUGUGCCUAUUGCAGCAGUAUACCGACAUAUUAUUACGAAGAUGGCAGUUUGGAGAUUACUCAACUAUUUAGGUGUUUUCAGAGAGCUGGUAAUGAAGGCGAUACCUUACAGUAAUGAAUAAUAAUUAAUAACUACACGUCAAAAACGCAUGAACGAAAGAGGAUUAAUGAUGAGUUUAUAUAUGGAGGGAGUGGCCUAAGACAAGCGCCAUUUAACCAAUAGGUAGGUAUCGCACGGUAUAAACAAUACGAACCACGAGUGGUGACACGAAUACAUUAUUAUAUUAUACAAUAUUCUACCACCAUAUUCUUCGUGCUGUACGCAUAAUAAUUGUCGGCGCCUAAUGCUUAAUGCUUAUAACUAUAUAUUUAUAUACAUUAUGGAUUCGUGUUUAUUCGUUAAUUAUUGUUUGCGUUAAAUAGUAGCUUGUACUUUUAACCGUUAAUAUCACUGUAUGCAAGCAUAUAUCCAUAUAAUAUUAUGGAUGUAUUCGACUUCGGCUAUAAUAAUAUUUACAGUUACUAAUAUAAUAUUUACAGUUACUAAUAUGGUAUAAGUAUAUGCUGUGCAAUGUUUUAAUCCUUGGAAAACGGUAUUAUAUAAAGCGAUAUAUUAAGACGGACGUAUAAUAUUAUAUAUUUUCUAUCUAGUGACAAAUUCGAUUGUUGGUUUUGCUUAAAUAAGAUAUAAAUUCCUAUUUAUUAAAUUGAUCGUGCAAUAGGUUAUUAUAUAUUCUAAUCGUAAAAAUAAACACUCGAUUGGUCUGGUAAAAGUAUUAACGUUUUGGAUUUUCAGGAAAUAUUUUUUCGACUUAAUAUAUUUGAAAUUAACACUAACUUGAAAAAGAAUGGUUCGAUUACGACCAUUCUAUGAACCCCUUUGUCAAAAUACGAAAAUGUUAUGACGACUUUAGUUAUAAAGCUUUUGUUAUACUACCUAUAAUUCAU